rnacentral:rRNA from 1 species
CGAGGGGCAGCGGGGGUAGCAAUACCCGCCGGCGACCGGCGCACGGGUGAGUAACGCGUAUGCACUUACCUAUCAGAGGGGGAUAACCCGGCGAAAGUCGGACUAAUACCGCAUGAACCCGCAUGGGUAAAGAUUCAUCGCUGAUAGAUAGGCAUGCGUUCCAUUAGGCAGUUGGCGGGGUAACGGCCCACCAAACCGACGAUGGAUAGGGGUUCUGAGAGGAAGGUCCCCCACAUUGGUACUGAGACACGGACCAAACUCCUACGGGAGGCAGCAGUGAGGAAUAUUGGUCAAUGGGCGUAAGCCUGAACCAGCCAAGUCGCGUGAGGGAUGAAGGUUUAUGGAUCGUAAACCUCUUUUAUAAGGGAAUAAGUGCGGGACGUGUCCCGUUUUGUAUGUACCUUAUGAAUAAGGAUCGGCUAACUCCGUGCCAGCAGCCGCGGUAAUACGGAGGAUCCGAGCGUUAUCCGGAUUUAUUGGGUUUAAAGGGUGCGUAGGCGGCCUUUUAAGUCAGCGGUGAAAGUCUGUGGCUCAACCAUAGAAUUGCCGUUGAAACUGGGGGGCUUGAGUAUGUUUGAGGCAGGCGGAAUGCGUGGUGUAGCGGUGAAAUGCAUAGAUAUCACGCAGAACCCCGAUUGCGAAGGCAGCCUGCCAAGCCAUUACUGACGCUGAUGCACGAAAGCGUGGGGAUCAAACAGGAUUAGAUACCCUGGUAGUCCACGCAGUAAACGAUGAUCACUAGCUGUUUGCGAUACAUGUAAGCGGC